rnacentral:rRNA from 1 species
CUGCGGCAGCGACGCUGAUGCGUUGUUGGGUAGGGGAGCGUUCUGUAAGCCUGCGAAGGUGGCCUGUGAGGGUUGCUGGAGGUAUCAGAAGUGCGAAUGCUGACAUAAGUAACGAUAAAGCGGGUGAAAAGCCCGCUCGCCGGAAGACCAAGGGUUCCUGUCCAACGUUAAUCGGGGCAGGGUGAGUCGACCCCUAAGGCGAGGCCGAAAGGCGUAGUCGAUGGGAAACGGGUUAAUAUUCCCGUACUUGGUGUUACUGCGAAGGGGGGACGGAGAAGGCUAUGUUGGCCGGGCGACGGUUGUCCCGGUUUAAGCGUGUAGGUGUGUGUUCCAGGUAAAUCCGGUUCACUUUAACACUGAGGCGUGACGACGAGGCACUACGGUGCUGAAGCAACAAAUGCCCUGCUUCCAGGAAAAGCCUCUAAGCAUCAGGUAACAUCAAAUCGUACCCCAAACCGACACAGGUGGUCAGGUAGAGAAUACCAAGGCGCUUGAGAGAACUCGGGUGAAGGAACUAGGCAAAAUGGUGCCGUAACUUCGGGAGAAGGCACGCUGACACGUAGGUGAAGUGAUUUACUCAUGGAGCUGAAGUCAGUCGAAGAUACCAGCUGGCUGCAACUGUUUAUUAAAAACACAGCACUGUGCAAACACGAAAGUGGACGUAUACGGUGUGACGCCUGCCCGGUGCCGGAAGGUUAAUUGAUGGGGUCAGCGCAAGCGAAGCUCCUGAUCGAAGCCCCGGUAAACGGCGGCCGUAACUAUAACGGUCCUAAGGUAGCGAAAUUCCUUGUCGGGUAAGUUCCGACCUGCACGAAUGGCGUAAUGAUGGCCAGGCUGUCUCCACCCGAGACUCAGUGAAAUUGAACUCGCUGUGAAGAUGCAGUGUACCCGCGGCAAGACGGAAAGACCCCGUGAACCUUUACUAUAGCUUGACACUGAACAUUGAGCCUUGAUGUGUAGGAUAGGUGGGAGGCUUUGAAGUGUGGACGCCAGUCUGCAUGGAGCCGACCUUGAAAUACCACCCUUUAAUGUUUGAUGUUCUAACGUGGACCCGUGAUCCGGGUUGCGGACAGUGUCUGGUGGGUAGUUUGACUGGGGCGGUCUCCUCCUAAAGAGUAACGGAGGAGCACGAAGGUUGGCUAAUCCUGGUCGGACAUCAGGAGGUUAGUGCAAUGGCAUAAGCCAGCUUGACUGCGAGCGUGACGGCGCGAGCAGGUGCGAAAGCAGGUCAUAGUGAUCCGGUGGUUCUGAAUGGAAGGGCCAUCGCUCAACGGAUAAAAGGUACUCCGGGGAUAACAGGCUGAUACCGCCCAAGAGUUCAUAUCGACGGCGGUGUUUGGCACCUCGAUGUCGGCUCAUCACAUCCUGGGGCUGAAGUAGGUCCCAAGGGUAUGGCUGUUCGCCAUUUAAAGUGGUACGCGAGCUGGGUUUAGAACGUCGUGAGACAGUUCGGUCCCUAUCUGCCGUGGGCGCUGGAGAACUGAGGGGGGCUGCUCCUAGUACGAGAGGACCGGAGUGGACGCAUCACUGGUGUUCGGGUUGUCAUGCCAAUGGCACUGCCCGGUAGCUAAAUGCGGAAGAGAUAAGUGCUGAAAGCAUCUAAGCACGAAACUUGCCCCGAG